AUUUAUUAUUUCAUAAUAUGUAAGAACAUAUAAUACAUAAAAUAAUAUAUAUAUAUAUAUAUAAUGUUUAUCCCGCGCAAGGCGCAGAUCUUAAUCUAGUUAAUUAUUAAUCUUGUAUAUUUCUUCUGGUCUUAGGCCAUCCGCAACGGCGGUCCGUAAGGAAUCCUUAGCAUUAAUCCUUAAGAUUAAUGAAAUAUAAUAAUAAUAUUUUGGCUUAACUAACGACGGAUCAGUCCUUCAAGAAGGAUUGGAAGGACUUGAUCCUUAAUACACGUGUCUCCUUACCCUCCUCUUUCUCCCUCGCUCUCUCUAUCUCUCCUCCCUGGCUCUCUCUCAAUCUCUCCUCGCUCGCCCCAUCAUCGCCCACCAUGGCUCCUCUAUCAUCUUCCUCUUCUUUUUCAUCGCCCAACCCUAGACUGAUCCCUUGGUCCCGCGAACUAUGCGCUGUCAACACCUUCUCCCAGCCAUCGAUCUCGUCUGAACCAACUGCUAAGCUAGCGAUCUCAUCCGAUCCCUAUCGAGUUCUCACCUCAGGUUCCGUCGCAGCCGCCACAUCGAGAAUUGGGGCUUUUGCUGGAUUAGGUCAACACUAUGCUCGUUGCUAUUGGGAGUUUUCUAAAGCUCGACUCAGGAAGAAAGAUGAUCAGUGAAAGAUCGAAAGUAUGUUUUUAGUGGUUUUUGUAAUUGAUAAGCAAGGAACUACGUGCUGUUUUGUUUUGUAAACACUCGUAUCCUCUGCCAUAUUGAGCAAGAUAUGGACUGGUUUGAAAACAAUCGUGUUUCUUGAUUUUUUUUUUUUUAAUUCAUCAUUGAUCUUUGAAUCUUGAUUCUUUAUGUUUCUGUUUUUGCAACAAUUGUUUCUCUGACUAAAUCCAUUUGCUGGAAGGUUGUGGCAAAGACGGUUGACUCCUCGGGGAGAGGACUCGUGAUAUAUCAAAAGCCAACUUCAGAGUCUUGCUAUAACCACCUCUUUGUUCUAAAGAGGAAGUAAAUGCUUCAUGGUAUGCUCCUCUCCGCCAAUGCAUCUCGAAGUUACCGAGUGGAGGUGUCCAGAAGUGGCCUGAGCUAUGGCAUAAACAGCUUGUGAGUGUAAAGCCUCAAAGUGUUUCGGCUGACACAAAAACAUCCAAGAAAGAUACAGAAAAAUGGUCAGAGAUUGUAUCUGAUGUCUAUCUUGAACGUUUAGCUGUAAACUGGUAUAGCGUGAGGAAUGUGAUGGACAUGAAUACUGGUUUUGGCGGGUAACUUUUUACUUUUUUUUUUAA